rfam:Blumeria graminis f. sp. hordei DH14, WGS project CATH01000000 data, contig: 003939
GGUGGUGUGGUGUAAUGGUAGCACGUGACGUUGUGGUCAAUCCAUAUUUAACCGUUUCAAUCUGGGUUCGAUUCCCAGCACCGCCA